rnacentral:rRNA from 1 species
AUUGUACGCUGGCGGCAGGCCUAACACAUGCAAGCCGAACGAGUGGCGGACGGGUGAGUAAUGUCGGGGAAACUGCCCGAUGGAGGGGGAUAACUACUGGAAACGGUAGCUAAUACCGCAUACCAUCGGGUGUGCCCCGAUGGGAUUAGCUAGUAGGUGGGGUAAUGGCUCACCUCGGCGACGAUCCCUAGCUGGUCUGAGAGGAUGACCAGCCACACUGGAACUUAGACACGGUGCAGACGCCUAGGGGAGGCAGCGGUGGGGAAUAUUGCGAAAUGGGAGCAAGCCUGAUGCAGCCAUGCAGCGUGUAUGAAGAAGGCCUUCGGGUUGUAAAGUAGUUUCAGCGGGGAGGCGUUACCCGCAGAAGAAGCACCGGCUAACUCCGUGCCAGCAGCCGCGGUAAUAC